rnacentral:rRNA from 18 species
CUGUCUCAGCCAUGAGCUCGGUGAAAUUGUAGUACCGGUGAAGAUGCCGGUUACCCGCAACGGGACGGAAAGACCCCAUGAACCUUUACUAUAGCUUAGCAUUGGGAUUGUAUAUAUAAUGUGUAGGAUAGGCGGGAGACUAUGAAGCGGUGUCGCUAGGCAUUGUGGAGUCGCUGUUGAAAUACCGCCCUUUAUCUAUUUGAUUCCUAAUCCGGCAACGGAGACAUUGCUUGGUGGGUAGUUUGACUGGGGUGGUCGCCUCCAAAAGAGUAACGGAGGCUUUCAAAGGUACCCUCAGUACGGUUGGUAAUCGUACGUAGAGUGCAAUAGCAAAAGGGUGCUUGACUGUGAGGCCAACAAGCCGAUCAGGGUCGAAAGACGGAUAUAGUGAUCCGGUGGUUCCGUAUGGAAGGGCCAUCGCUCAAAGGAUAAAAGGUACUCCGGGGAUAACAGGCUGAUGAUGCCCAAGAGUCCAUAUCGACGGCAUCGUUUGGCACCUCGAUGUCGGCUCAUCACAUCCUGGGGCUGAAGCCGGUCCCAAGGGUAUGGCUGUUCGCCAUUUAAAGUGGUACGCGAGCUGGGUUUAGAACGUCGUGAGACAGUUCGGUCCCUAUCUGCCGUGGGUGUAGGAGAAUUGAGAGGAUCUGUCCCUAGUACGAGAGGACCGGGAUGGACGUAUCUCUGGUGGACCUGUUGUUGCGCCAG